rnacentral:rRNA from 1 species
AACGAACGCUGGCGGCAGGCCUAACACAUGCAAGUCGAGCGCUCUCUUCGGAGGGAGCGGCGGACGGGUUAGUAACGCGUGGGAAUGUACCCUUCUCUAAGGAAUAGCCAUUGGAAACAAUGAGUAAUACCUUAUACGACCCCCCGGGUCAAACUCGGGGGGGAAAGAUUUAUCGGAGAGGGAUCAGCCCGCGUAAGAUUAGAUAGUUGGUGGGGUAAUGGCCUACCAAGUCUACGAUCUUUAGCUGGGUUUUUAGAGGAUGAUCAGCAACACUGGGACUGAGACACGGCCCAGACUCCUACGGGAGGCAGCAGUGGGGAAUCUUGGACAAUGGGCGCAAGCCUGAUCCAGCCAUGCCGCGUGAGUGAUGAAGGCCUUAGGGUCGUAAAGCUCUUUCGCCAGAGAUGAUAAUGACAGUAUCUGGUAAAGAAGUCCCGGCUAACUCCGUG